AUAAACUUCGCCCUAAUUCUAAUAGUCAAUACCCUCCUAGCCCUACUAUUAAUAGUUAUUACAUUCUGAUUACCACAACUCAACAGUUACAUAGAAAAAUCCAACCCUUACGAAUGUGGCUUCGACCCCCUAUUCCCCACCCGCAUUCCUUUCUCCAUGAAAUUCUUCUUAGUAGCCAUCACCUUUCUAUUAUUUGACCUAGAAAUUGCUCUCCUACUGCCCUUACCAUGAGCCCUACAAACAACCAACUUACCACUAACAGUCAUAUCAUCCCUCUUAUUAAUCAUUAUCCUAACCCUAAGCCUAGCCUACGAAUGAUCACAAAAGGGAUUAGACUGAGCCGAA
rnacentral:lncRNA from 1 species